rnacentral:lncRNA from 1 species
UUAAAAGGGGUCAAAGUAACACUUCGGAGUGAAUUUCCUCAUGAUGCUCAACCCAAGCCUAAUCCUACCAAAAGCCUCAAGUGAGGAAUAUGUGAGACAUGAGGACUCUCAUAGUUGAGGGUCCCGACCGUUACCGCAAUUCGCGCCACAUCACUGAUCUUAUCCACAUCAAUGGUCAUAUUAUUUAAGGGCAUUAAUGUCAAAUCAUGUCGGGAUGCCCCUAGGC